rnacentral:rRNA from 1 species
AACGAACGCUGGCGGCAUGCCUAACACAUGCAAGUCGAACGAAGCCUUCGGGCUUAGUGGCGCACGGGUGCGUAACGCGUGGGAAUCUGCCCUUGGGUUCGGAAUAACAGUUAGAAAUGACUGAUAAUACCGGAUGAUGUCUUCGGACCAAAGAUUAAUCGCCCAAGGAUGAGCCCGCGUAGGAUUAGGUAGUUGGUGGGGUAAUGGCCCACCAAGCCGACGAUCCUUAGCUGGUCCGAGAGGAUGAUCAGCCACACUGGGACUGAGACACGGCCCAGACUCCUACGGGAGGCAGCAGUGGGGAAUAUUGGACAAUGGGCGAAAGCCUGAUCCAGCAAUGCCGCGUGAGUGAUGAAGGCCUUAGGGUUGUAAAGCUCUUUUACCAGGGAUGAUAAUGACAGUACCUGGAGAAUAAGCUCCGGCUAACUCCGUGCCAGCCGCCGCCGUAAAAC